CACGCUAUAAACACGCAAAAUUAUUAUAAACAAGCUCAAUUAUUAGCCAAAGUUAUAAAACAACUCUUCAAUUAAUGGCAAGGAAUUCCGCACUGAGUGCUCGUGGUCGUAUUAAUUCAGGAUGAAACACAAACUGAAAAAAAUAAAUGAAAAUAAAAUAAUAAUAAUAACAAUCUAUUGGUGUUCAUUCAGAGGACACCUGGCAAAGUUUGAAAACAUGAAUGGGCAAGUGCGCAGCUCUGAAAGCACUGAUCAGGGCAUCAGGCGAUGCAUCUGACGGCUUUAAGACACGCUAAGAAAUGGCCCUUUCUCCAAGCAAUUAAAAAGUUUGAAUGCAAAUGUAGCUUUUGGUGAAAGCUCUGGUCGUGACGUAAAGUGCAUUAGGCUAUAUUCUGUGUUUGAUAUGAUCCACAUGCCUUAUGUCAAAAUGUAUUAUGCUGACAGGACAAAAACGCAGUUAUGGCCUUAAGCGAUAAAAAAGCAACAAGUGCCUGAGCACGAGAUGGUAUGUGCUUGACACGAAUGAAUAUUUAAAUAACAUUAAAUUUACCUGCCAGAACUUUAUCAUAACAAAAUAAUAUAAAUGUGGAAACAUUGCUUGAGACUCCAUGAAGGUCUGCAAGGAGGAACAAAACAGAAAACAAAUAUGUCUCGGAGUGUCUGACCUACUGGCAGUCACAUGUCUUGACAAUGUGGAUGUUUCCAGCUUUCUUGAAAAGCCCGGACUCCUUCACAGGGUCCAGCGGUCGCCCCAACAGGCACAGGUCUGUUUAAACAGGGUGCUUUAGCCAAAGCAUAGCAGGGUUUUACGAUUCUCUUCAUUGGGUCACUAGUGGCUCUCUUAUAUGAUUCUCUUAUGCAGUAGGCUAUAUAGAUCUGGAGAUAUGAGUUUGGAUUGUCUUUUUCACAUAGUUUAAGCCCGGAUUGUCCUAAAGGAAGUGUCUAUGGAUGUAUCCUCUCCAAAAUGCAAACUAUUUUUUCCAGGCUCUCCUAUAUCUACUCCAGUGAUUAGUAAAAUCCCUAUGAGAGAGGUGUUUGACAGAAGAGGAUUGACAGCAGUUCAGACCCAAGUGUACUGCAUCAUCAGAAAUGAGGAAAGGCUGUAGGGUCUGGUGUAUCCUUUCUCAAACUGGGCGGGCUGAGAGGUUGAGAGAAAAUGGACAAAUACAGUCGUCUGAUGGCGACAGAAGAGGAACUGGAGAAGGAAGGGAUCCUGGGUGCUAGAGAGAGAGAAAAAAAACAGCAUCUUUCCAUACAUUUAAGUCCGGAAGCGGCUGUGACUCAAUGUCGUACAAUGCAUGGCAAAUGGUAACAGACUGUGACCAUCUCUACUUGAUGUGACUUCAUCUCCUGUCUGUCUGUCUGAUAUUAUCACAGUGUUUGUCUGACCUGACUGCAUGACAUCAAAAUGCAUAUUUGUUCCAAUUCACAUGAAAAUAUAUUUUUAAGUGAAAGAUGACUAAUCUUCACAUGCACCAUAUUCCUGUGUGAUAUACUUUAGUGCUUGUACAAUAGAUGGUUUAUACAUUAAACAAACAUAUCCAAAGUUAAA